GUAUACGUUUAGAUAUGAGCUAGAGUUGGUGGAGGGUUGAAAUUAACUAAUGUUAGGCUAAAGUGCUUUGAAUUCUAAAGCAAAAGUUUUUGUAUUGCUUUUCUUGGAUCAAGUGGAUUAUUGUGAGGAAGCAUCAUGGAAUUGGUGUUAACUCAUGACAGUAAAGGAUGAAACAUUUCUUAACUUCUACUGAAGGUUUUGGCAGAACCAGUAGGGAGUAGCUGUUUACAAGGUUGCAAACUUAGGAGGUCAUUGUCUUGUUCUGAUGAAAAACUUGGGGGAAAAAGUGGGCUGUUGCCACAAAAUGGAUAGAGAGAGAUAGGAAGCAUGGAUACUUUCUCCACAUUCUGUUAUCUGUAGGAAGCACAUCAGUGAUGAUGAUUAUGUUCAAACUAAGAAAUUUUCGCCUUCACCAUAACAACACUUGACGGAUUAACUUUAACACUGAGAGUAUCUUCAGGAUUCAAGUGCACUGGAGAUCUCCACCAGCGAAAGAGAUCCUGAACAUCAUAGCCCUCACUGUAAUUUAGGCCAAUUCCACUCAUGGUCGUAUUGACUUCAACGGCACUACCCAUAUCUCGACGAUUGAAGAAAACAACAGCAUAUGAAUAGUAACUGUCUUUUGUUGGUGUAACAGGCCGAGUCCAGAUUUCAAUAUUCUGUUGCUAUAAUUAGAUAAGUGUAAUAUUUAUAAUAAUGAGCCUGAGAUACAAGUAAUACAUAAGUUUGAGAAAAUAACAAGGAUUUAAUAGCAGAAUAAAACAACAAAACGUCAUCUCGAACUAAAGUUACAGCACUUUCUGGCCAUUAUCACAAAUUAAGCUCCUUAAAAAUUCACCAACUUUUGAUGUUCGUUGUCAAAGGUGAAUUUUCAAUGUGAUUUAUGAAGUUUAACUUUUUUCAAUCAAGUGAAGAUAACAUAAUGAAAUAGAGUAGUGAAGGUUGAUAGACUGAUUCAAGCUUUUGUCUAUCUUGAUGUACUGGAUGGAGCUCUUGUUUAUUUAGUGUAAUGGAUGAGUUUUGUGUAUAGUUUUAUAAAGGAUGAAGCUGUAUCUAUCUAGUGUAAUGGAUGGAAUGUGUCCACCUGAGUCAUGGAUGGAUGUCAUGUCUUCUGGUGUAAUGCAUGAGAUUUGUGUACAGCUUUAUAGUGGAUGUAGCUUGAGGUUACUUGGAGUAAUAGAAUAAGCUGUGUUACUUGCCGGGUAGGAUCGAGUUUUUUGUCCACUUGGUGUAAUGGAUAGAGUUCUUGUGCAUUUGAUGUAUUGAAUAAAGUUCUUGUCUAAUUGGUGUAA